UACGGAGGGUGCGAGCGUUGUCCGGAAUCACUGGGCGUAAAGGGCGCGUAGGCGGCUUCUCAAGCGUGCGGUGAAAGCCCGGGGCUCAACCCCGGGUCGGCCGUGCGAACUGGUCAGCUCGAGCAUGGUAGAGGCGGGUGGAAUUCCGGGUGUAGCGGUGGAAUGCGUAGAGAUCCGGAAGAACACCGGUGGCGAAGGCGGCCCGCUGGGCCAUGGCUGACACUGAGGCGCGACAGCGUGGGGAGCAAACAGG
rnacentral:rRNA from 1 species